GGAGUUGUGGCUCAACGGUAGAGCGCUUGCCUUGCAUGUGCGAGACCCUGGGUUUGAACCUCAGCACCA
rnacentral:tRNA from 1 species